UUCUAGCCCAGAUAGCAGUGGAAAUCCUUUUCUUUUUUUUUAAAGAAAAGAUUGAAACGAAUAGCUGGAAAAAGC
rnacentral:sRNA from 1 species